rnacentral:rRNA from 1 species
AGUUUGAUCAUGGCUCAGGAUUAACGCUGGCGGCAUGCCUAACACAUGCAAGUCGAAUGUUGCUCGCAAGAGUAAACAUGGCAGACGGCUGAGUAACGCGUGGGGACUUACCUCUUAGUCGGGCAUAACCCAUCGAAAGGUGGGAUAAUUCCUGAUGUUGUCGCAAGACCAAAGAUUUAUCGCUAAGAGAGAGACCUGCGUCUGAUUAGCUUGUUGGUGAGGUAACGGCUCACCAAGGCUCUGAUCAGUAGGGGACCUGAGAGGGUGACCCCCCAGACUGGGACUGAGACACGGCCCAGACUCCUACGGGAGGCAGCAGUGAGGGAUUUUCCACAAUGGACGAAAGUCUGAUGGAGCAAUGCCGCGUGAAGGAUGAAGGCUUUCGGGUUGUAAACUUUUUUUUUACGGAAAGAUUAUGACGGUACCGUAAGAAUAAGACGCUGCUAACUACGUGCCAGCAGCAGCGGUAAUACGUAGGCGUCGAGCGUUAUCCGGUUUUACUGGGCGUAAAGGGUCCGCAGG